rnacentral:tRNA from 1 species
GCUUGUGCGUGUGAAGCGGUUAUCACGUGUGCUUCACACGCACAAGCUCCCCGGUUCGAUCCCGGGCGGGAACA